CUCCCUAGUGUGUGGUUAGUAUUGACUUUGUUAGAAUUUAAUUUAUGAAUUUGAUAUUAAUGGUUGUUUGUGAGGACCAACAACUGGUUAGGGGUUUGUAAGACUGCUUUAUCCAAGUGCAUGUGUGAGGAAGACGGACUUUGUCACUUAUGUGCCUGUGUAAGAUUUUACGGAUAGGCUGUAAUCGCUUAACUAUGCCUCUGUACCAAAAGUCCAGUACUGCUCCCUGGCUCUAGUAGAGGGGCUCCCGAGUGUGUGGUGGGUACUAAAAUGGUUCGAAUUUAAUUUAUGAAUUUGAGAUUAAUGGUUGUUUUUAAGUACCAGCAUAUGGUUAGGGGUUUGUCAAAGUGUUUUAUCCAAGUGCAUGUGUGAGGAAGAGGGACAUUGUCACUUAUGUGGCUGUAAUCGCUUACCUGUGCCUCUNUUGUCAAAGUGUUUUAUCCAAGUGCAUGUGUGAGGAAGAGGGACAUUGUCACUUAUGUGGCUGUAAUCGCUUACCUGUGCCUCUGUACCAAAAGUCCAACGC
rnacentral:lncRNA from 1 species